CAGGACGACCACAACAGCUUCGGUCAAGAAAGCCACACCACUUCAAUAAUUCUCCACAGCAGUUCAACACCGUUCCACAGCAAUCUAAGCCAAAUGCAACAAAUGGAUCUCAUGUCGCAGAAUCAAAUCCGAAUGGAAGAAAACCAAGAUGACAAAGACAGCAGCCUCCUAACUCAGUUGCAAGACGAUCCUCCCAGCUGCAUGCCAAAACCGGCUCAACAAUCCUCCAACUUUCCCCUGCAUCAAUAGCCAUAUGCACAGCAUGCCAUGUACAAAAGUCACCUUGGAAGACAGCUGCCUCCUAAUCAGUCUGCUAUUGCAGCUUGAAGCCCUCUGCAGUCCAGGAUUCCAGGCCACAUGUUUUCUGCAUAUCUCUAACUUCAUCCAUUGUAAUCAGCACAGGAUCUAGUUAAUUGUUUGUUUAAUAUUUACACUUAGUUUCAAAAGUUUGUUUUAUUCUUAGCUCAAGAGCUCAGUGUGUAACUUGCACCUUAUAAAUAGAAAGACUACCUCUGCACUUGGUAAGCAACCAAGCAGAGUUUCUUCUUA